UCCUCACCUUGGCAGGGAUUUUCAAAAAUGUUUGGUUUCAGUGCACUGAUACUGCGUUUUUGCGUGGACAAACGGCCGAACCACAUAAAAAAAUAACACGGUUAUAAAAAUACUCCGGUCCGUGUGGACUAGGUCUAAGUCUUUAAUAGAAUCUGUGUCCAUUUAGUUUACAUAUUACAAAUACACAGAUAGUGAUGCUUUGUUUUGAAUGGAGAUGGGGUGUGAGACUGACUGUGAGUGUGUACAAAAGCUUAGUUUUUAAUAAUGGUUGUUGUGGAUCCUGUAUAAAAUUUGUCUUAAGCCCUGUUUUCUCUCUCUCUCUCUCUCUCUCUCUCUCUCUCUUUCUCUCUCCCUAUACUGUAGUUUGCAAUGAAUUGUGGGAGCAUGCUAAAUGCAAAUUUUACAGUUAUGUCUGCAAUACUGUAUUUUUGAAAUAGGCUAAUAUGUAAAUGCUACAGGACAACAUGUAAUGACACUUAUUAUUUUAUUUGAUGUAUUUAUUUAAAAAGUCAGCUGUGGCACUAGUUUGGAAAUAAAAGCUUUGGCACUUUACAAUAACUGCAAUAAAUGCAGCCUAUUAAAUGAAUUAUAAACAUUCAUGUAGAUUCUGAUAAUGUACAUAUCUUUGUCAAAAAUGUUUGAUAAGAAACACAUUUAGACAACAUGUGUGCGUAGCGCAGUACGUGUGAUGUCACGACGUCAUCAGCAAAUUUGCGCCCGGUGCACAUGCGCAUUGCGAGUUUGCGCAGACAGGUGUCUACGGUCGGAGUGGAAUGAAGAAGUUGCAUCUGAUAAUUCUUCCAUUGUGUAGCAGCAACUGCAGCUGACAUGGAAUGAGGAUUAUCGGAUUCACCUCUCACUGAUCAUCCAAGGUGAAUUGAUGACCUCAAGCAAAUGGAUGUUGUUGUCAUCUGAAGAGAAGGUUGUCCUGGGCCCAUGUUUAGAGGCAUUUGGGGCAUAUCUGACACAUAUCACAAUCAAGCUGCAUGCACACUUGAGUUUAUUCAGAGAGAAGUUGUGGGCAUCAGUCCGGAAACUGGAUAAAAAAUUUGCUGCUGGAAUGUGAGACAAAUAAAGGCAUGGAAUGAACCCAAAUGUAUGAACACUGCUACGAAAACUAAUGGACUUUGAAUGGCUUGCCAGUUAAUUCCAAUGGAAUUGAAGAAGAGACUCUGACAAGAUUUUCAAGUUUGUGUUUAAUUUAAAAGUUUAUCUUCAUAGAUAAGCAAUUUAAAGGUAGGCACAGUUAAAACUAUUUCUUGUGUGUUUGUUUAAACUGUAAAUUUAUGACUGAAGUUUGGUCACUAUGUAGUAAUGUGUUCCUUUGUGGUUAAUUAAAUGCUGCAGUGCUUAGUGGUAUUCGUUGUUGUAUUUCCAAGGCUAAAGCCUUAUUUUGUGAUCUGCAUUGUAUUGGAGAGUUUUGGAAACUAAUACUUAUUAUCUUAAUGCAUUGGAAAGUUUUGGACUAUUGAACAAUAAAUGCAUUUGGCUACAUCUGUGAUUUUCUGUUAUUUUAAGUGUUUUAGUUUACAUUACAUUAAAUGAUUUAUCACAGCAGUUAAAAAAAAUUACAGUAAUUUUUUUUACAGUGUAGGCUACCAUGACACAAGUUGCAGCUCCAAAAACAUUUCUUAGUCAAGUUGUAUAGCUACAAGCAGCACAAAACCAAAGAAGUGGAUUUGAUGAAGUCAUGUUGUAGUAUUGCUGAACAAUGUUCACCAGUUAGAGAUUGAGGUGGAAUGUGAGUUAACAGUGGACGUGGUCUUACUUUGCAGCAAGAGCAAAACCCUAAAAGUUUCAAUGCUGAAGAGGGAUACAUUUUAAACACUAUAAAUUUACUGAUUUAUGUAAUUUUACUUACAUUUCUACAGAAAAAUAAUCAAUAAAACAUUUACAGAAAUUUUCUGUAAAAAUAAUUUUUUAAUCUGUAAAAAUGAACGGCAAAUUUCUGUGGAAAUUAACGGCAAAUGUCUGAAAAUUAACGGCAAAUGUCUGAAAAUUAACGGCAAAUGUCUGUGGAAAUUAACGGCAAAUGUCUGUGGAAAUUAACGGCAAAUGUCUGUGGAAAUUAACGGCAAAUGUCUGGAAAUUAACGGCAAAUUUCUGUGAAAAUUAAUGGCAAAUGUCUGUGGAAAUUAACGGCAAAUGUCUAAAUAUUAACGGCAAAUGUCUGUAAAAAUUAACGGCAAAUGUCUGUGGAAAUUAACGGCAAAUUUCUGUGGAAAUUAACGGCAAAUGUCUGAAAAUUAACGGCAAAUGUCUGUGAAAAUUAACGGCAAAUGUUUGUGAAAAUUA